GACAUAGGUGGCGAACGUUAUCCGGAAUUAUUGGGCGUAAAGAGUGCGUAGGUGGUUUAAUAAGUUACUGGUGGGAAAUCGGGGCCCAACCCCGUGGAAGUCAGUAAUACUAUUAAACUAGAGGGUUGGAGAGGUUAACGGAAUUCUAUGUGUAGCGGUAAAAUGCGUAAAUAUAUAGAGGAACACCAAACGGCGAAGGCAGUUAACUAUUCAAUUCCUGACGUUGAGGCACGAAAGCCAGGGGAGCGAACGGG
rnacentral:rRNA from 1 species